AUUGAACGCUGGCGGCAGGCCUCACACAUGCAAGUCGAGCGAGCGGCGGACGGGUGAGUAAUGUAUGGGGAUCUGCCUGAUAGAGGGGGAUAACUCCUGGAACCGGUAGCUAAUACCGCAUCCUAUCCGAUGACACCAGAUGGGAUUAGCUAGUAGGUGGGGGAAUGGCUCACCUAGGCGACGAUCCCUAGCUGGUCUGAGAGGAUGACCAGCCACACUGGAACUGAGACACGGUCCAGACGCCUACGGGAGGAAGCAGUGGGGAAUAGUGCACAAUGGGCGCAAGCCUGAUGCAGCCAUGCCGCGUGUAUGAAGAAGGCCUUCGGGUUGUAAAGUACUUUCAGCGAGGAGGCGUUACCCGCAGAAGAAGCACCGGCUAACUCCGUGCCAGCCGCUGCGGUAAUAC
rnacentral:rRNA from 1 species